rnacentral:rRNA from 1 species
AACGAACGCUGGCGGCGGGCUUAACACAUGCAAGUCGAGCGCCCCGCAAGGGGAGCGGCAGACGGGUGAGUAACGCGUGGGAAUCUACCCAUCUCUACGGAAUAACGCAUGGAAACGUGUGCUAAUACCGUAUACGUCCUUCGGGAGAAAGAUUUAUCGGAGAUGGAUGAGCCCGCGUUGGAUUAGCUAGUGGGUGGGGUAAAGGCCUACCAAGGCGACGAUCCAUAGCUGGUCUGAGAGGAUGAUCAGCCACACUGGGACUGAGGCACGGCCCAGACUGCUGCGGGUGGCAGCAGUGGAGAAUAUUGGACAAUGGACGCAGGGCUGAUCCAGCCAUGCCGCGUGAGUGAUGAAGGCCCUAGGGUUUUAAAGCUCUUUCACCGGUGAAGAUAAUGGCGGUAACCGGAGAAGAAGCCCCGGCUAACUUCGUGCCAGCAGCCGCGGUAACAC